GGGGUAACCGGCCUACCAAGGCGACGACGGGUAGCCGGCCUGAGAGGGUGACCGGCCACACUGGGACUGAGACACGGCCCAGACUCCUACGGGAGGCAGCAGUGGGGAAUAUUGCGCAAUGGGCGGAAGCCUGACGCAGCGACGCCGCGUGGGGGAUGACGGCCUUCGGGUUGUAAACCUCUUUCAGCAGGGACGAAGCGGAAGUGACGGUACCUGCAGAAGAAGCACCGGCCAACUACGUGCCAGCAGCCGCGGUAAUACGUAGGGUGCAAGCGUUGUCCGGAAUUAUUGGGCGUAAAGGGCUCGUAGGCGGUCUGUCGCGUCGGGAGUGAAAACUCAGGGCUUAACCCUGAGCCUGCUUCCGAUACGGGCAGACUUGAGUUCGGUAGGGGAGACUGGAAUUCCUGGUGUAGCGGUGAAAUGCGCAGAUAUCAGGAGGAACACCGAUGGCGAAGGCAGGUCUCUGGGUAGUAACUGACGCUGAGGAGCGAAAGCAUGGGUAGCGAACAGGAUUAGAUACCCUGGUAGUCCACGCCGUAAACGUUGG
rnacentral:rRNA from 1 species